rnacentral:lncRNA from 1 species
GGUCUAAUGGCGGUGAAUGCUUCAAGUGUGGUAAACCUGGUCAUUUUGCAAGAGAAUGUCCUAGUGAAGGAGGAGAAAGAGGGGGGAGAUAUGGUGGAAGAGAAAGUAGAUAUAGCGGUGGCUAUGGUCCUGAGAGGAAUGGUGGCGGUCGUGAUAGGGAUGGUGGCGGUCGUGAUAGGGAUGGUGGUGGGCGUGACAGGGAUGGUGGAGGUCGUGAUAGGGAUGGUGGAGGUCGUGAUAGGGAUGAUCGUGAUAGGGAUGGUGGUGGGCGUGACAGGGAUGGUGGAGGUCGUGAUAGGGAUGGUGGAGGUCGUGAUAGGGAUGGUGGUGGGCGUGACAGGGAUGGUGGCGGUCGUGACAGGGAUCGUGCUGGACCAUAUGAGCGUCGUGGAUCAUCUGGAGGUUAUCGUUGAUACAUUUAAGCUUCAUUAAGGUACUCAACAUGCUUUGAGUUUUACUUUGUGUACAUGUUUUUCAUGGUUCUGAUGUUAAUUUUAUUGUGAUUUUGCAGUUUUCGAAUUGAAGGGUCGCUGUUACUGCCUCAACUUUUUUCUUUUGGUGACAAUGUUUUGGAUUUAUUUAUGGAUGUAUGAUAC